rnacentral:rRNA from 1 species
AACGAACGCUGGCGGCAGGCUUAACACAUGCAAGUCGAGCGAGACCUUCGGGUCUAGCGGCGGACGGGUGAGUAACGCGUGGGAACGUGCCCUUCUCUACGGAAUAGCCCCGGGAAACUGGGAGUAAUACCGUAUACGCCCUUUGGGGGAAAGAUUUAUCGGAGAAGGAUCGGCCCGCGUUGGAUUAGGUAGUUGGUGGGGUAAUGGCCCACCAAGCCGACGAUCCAUAGCUGGUUUGAGAGGAUGAUCAGCCACACUGGGACUGAGACACGGCCCAGACUCCUACGGGAGGCAGCAGUGGGGAAUCUUAGACAAUGGGGGCAACCCUGAUCUAGCCAUGCCGCGUGAGUGAUGAAGGCCUUAGGGUUGUAAAGCUCUUUCAGCUGGGAAGAUAAUGACGGUACCAGCAGAGGAAGCCCCGGCUAACUCCGUG